GAUAGAACUAACAUGAUUCCCCCAGUAAGGGCGACUGAAAGGGAAGAGCUCACCGUGUGAAUCUGCGCAUACCGUGCAAGCGGGCGCGCCGAAUUGUGGUCUGGAGAGGCAUUGUCGACCGUGGUUCCGGGCCAAGUUCCUUGGAAAAGGACAGCUGAGAGGGUGAAACUCCCGUUCUUGCCUGGGAUUUGCGUGUCAUGGCACGUGUUCUCAAAGAGUCGAGUUGCUUGGGAUUGCAGCUCAAAGUGGGUGGUAAAUUCCAUCUAAAGCUAAAUAUUGGUGGGAGACCGAUAGCGCACAAGUACCGUGAGGGAAAGAUGCAAAGAACUUUGAAAAGAGAGUUAAAGAGUACCUGAAAUUGCUGAAAGGGAAGCAAAGGAAACCAGUGCGUUGUGCGUGUCAUAUUUCUCCUGCUGCUUGCGGCGGGGGCGCUGUGGCCGUGCGUAGCGUCAGCAUCGGUUCGUACUUCGGAGCAAACGGUGUGGCUGGAGGUUAUUCCAUCACGGGAUGAAUGACGGCUGCACUAAGUUCUGGAGGGGACCGAGGUUAGUCACAUGCUCGUGAUGCUGGCUAAAUGGUUUUCUUUACCCCGUCUUGAAACACGGACCAAGGAGUCUAACAUAUGUGCGAGUACAUGGGUGGCAAACCUACGUGCGCAAUGAAAGUAACAGUGGUUGGAUCCGGUAAAACGGUGCACAAUCCGCCGGCCACAAUCCUUCGGGAGAAAGGUCUGAGUGUGAGCUCACAUGUUGGGACCCGAAAGAUGGUGAACUAUGCCUGAAUAGGGUGAAGCCAGGGUAAAC
rnacentral:rRNA from 1 species